UUGGCAGUAUCUAAAUAGAUCCAUAGUAGAGGGUUGUGGAAUCGCUUCCAAAGACAAAACGAGUGUGAAUGAAUUAAUGGCAUAUGUUUACCAAAACGACAGGCCUUUCUUAUGCUAUUCUAAGGGCCUUUCUGCCAGAAGCUCGAACGACUCAUACAGAAACCGUCGUCAAGAGUUCGUGAGUCAACUUUUGCAUGGCAGCGUAUAUAUAUAUAUAUAUAUAUAUAUAUGUGUUUUUGUUUUGUACUGCAGUGAUCGACAAUAAUACGGAGGAAAAGUCUACCUAAAACAAGGGCGGAAGAAGCUCCUUACUUUGUUGCGUGCGAUGAAUCGGCAGACGCCACGUGUCGAGAAAACAUGUGUGCUCUACAAGCAACGAAAGCUCCAACACAAAGACUGAGUCAGGUAUAAAAUGACUAUAGCGGUGAUAAUAUAGCUGCCGACCUGAACGUACGGAACAACCCAGGUCAGGUCACAGCAGUUGCUCCUAAUCAAACGGGCAAUACAUUUACCUUGAACAAGUUGCUUCGGAAUGUCAAAACAGCGCGAUUUGUGUCCAGCUGAACCUAUUGUUUCAUCAAGAACGAACUCAUUACAGUUCAACCUAAUCGAGCAUUUCGACGUGUAUUGCCCAAGUUGGGCUGUAAGUGGUCAGCCGAAAAUCAGAGGGUGAAUAAACCUAUCGAAAUCUAUUCCCUAUCAGUGAUAAAUAAAGUAAAAAGUGAAAUUUCUCAGCGCAGCAAAAAUCUUUGUUGUGUCACCUUCAAGAGCAACUUUCAAUGGGCCUGGGUCCGCCUUAGCUGAGCUGCUGCCGCUGGAUGGCUUUGUAAUCAGCGAUGGGCCUCGUGGGGGCCUGCGGAAUCUGAGGGUUGUUUUGGUGACGCGUUGAUUUCGUGGAUGUUACAAUGUUGGGUGGAUCUGUUGCAGAAGUCGAGCCACGAGCAGAGUUCCAAGGAUGAUGAUAGCGUCGAGUUCCUACCUGUUGGAUGUUCGCUGAAAAGAGAAAUGGCCGCUAGUAACAGAGCUGGUCAGUGUUGGUUCGAACUGGAUAGCGCAUAUACGAACGGGGUGCAAUAUGAAUAGACAUAAAUUGUAAAUAAAUGCUACAAAUAAGAUGACAAGCAAUAUUAUACAACUACAGAAGUUGCUUCACACGGAGAAUUCUACCAUUGUUUGCACAGAUUGUUUUCUGAUUUGAUUUCGGUACGGCAAUGGCUUAUUUGGAUACCCAGGAACAUUGCGCUUUAUGCCAGCUUCGUGGCGCGUCUCGAACAGUCGGAUCAGGGCUCCGCAAUAGAUCUACCCAAACGAUGGGCGUUCUUUUCGUUCGCUGGAAAACUCUUGUAAAGAUCGAAGAUGCCACCGAAACAUUUGAAACUGAAAAUGGGCGGGAAAGCCUACAGUGAUAUUCACCUUCCGAUGUCGGAGCGUCCUCUCAGGGAGGACGAUACACUUGUAUUGUAAAUAUAUACGGAACGCUUGUCCUUAUGCCGAUGUGUUACAGAAAAUCACAUGUGCUUUUCUUACGGUAUAAAUUACUCGACAUAGAGGUGAUUGGUUCUGGUUGAACACGAUAGCUGCGACGUUUACUGCUUGUGGGAGUUCUCUGAUCAGCAAGUUGAGACGACUGAUCGCAUGUACGCAAUAUCACAAUGUGAAAUAGAAUUUUAAUAAAAAGAGAUCCUUGCUUAAGGCAAAGACU